rnacentral:rRNA from 1 species
AGAGUUUGAUCCUGGCUCAGAACGAACGCUGGCGGCAGGCUUAACACAUGCAAGUCGAACGCACCUUCGGGUGAGUGGCGCACGGGUGAGUAACGCGUGGGAAUGUACCGUUUAGUACGGAAUAGCUCCGGGAAACUGGAAUUAAUACCGUAUACGCCCUUCGGGGGAAAGAUUUAUCGCUAAACGAUCAGCCCGCGUGAGAUUAGGUAGUUGGUGGGGUAAUGGCCUACCAAGCCUACGAUCUCUAGCUGGUCUGAGAGGAUGAUCAGCCACACUGGAACUGAGACACGGUCCAGACUCCUACGGGAGGCAGCAGUGGGGAAUAUUGGACAAUGGGGGAAACCCUGAUCCAGCCAUGCCGCGUGAGUGAUGAAGGCCUUAGGGUUGUAAAGCUCUUUUACCGAU